rnacentral:lncRNA from 1 species
AUGGAGGACCAAAACCUCAUCGUCGCUGUGUGCAGCCGUCCUGUCCUUUACAACACCAGGAGGAUGGUGUCGUACCGGGACAGGAACAAGAAAGAGAGGGCGUGGGUCGACGUGGCCGAGGAUACUGGCUGUCCUGACCAGCCCAGCAGUGAGUCAGAGACAGAGGACGCUGCUCCUGCUCCUGCUCCUGCCCCUGCCGCUGGCCCUUCCCGUGUACCUGUCCCGGAGGCUGGCCCUGCCCCAAGACCACAGAGCGGGACGAAGAGGAAGAGAGCCAGGGUACCGGAGGGGAACACAAAUAUCCAGACAGCCAUCCUCCAGGCCCUGCAGAGGCAAAACGCUGUGCCUACCCCUACCCCGCUCUCUGGGAUUGAGCACUUUUUAACUGGCCUAGUUCCUUCCCUGGAGAGAAUGCCACCUGAAGUACUGGAGUACGUUCAAUUCCAAAUUCGAAAGGUCAUAUUUGACAAUACUAAUUUCACACUUUAUUUGGAACCUGUUUAAGCUUAUUAGCUAGUGGUGGUGACAAUCUCUCCAGGGAAAGAACUAGGCUGAUGUCACUGUUCAUUUGUUAUUGUUCCGUUAUGUUUAUAUUAUAUAUUUCGUAUGUUAUUUUUGUUAUUUAUAUAAUUAUUUUUUAAAUAAAAUAUUUCUCACAACUCUUCUCUCAAUAUAUGAUUUUAAGAUCUAGCAUGCAUGGACACAAAUAUACAUUUUUAAUAACACUACUUAAUUGAACAAUUUUAAUAACAAUUUAAUAAUAAUGAAGGAAUCCCUUUUGUUUUGUGUGGGUGGCUCUUAAAAGAGCCGUUUUGGG